AGUGAACGCUGGCGGUAGGCCUAACACAUGCAAGUCGAACGGCAGCACAGUAAGAGCUUGCUCUUACGGGUGGCGAGUGGCGGACGGGUGAGGAAUACAUCGGAAUCUACUUUUUCGUGGGGGAUAACGUAGGGAAACUUACGCUAAUACCGCAUACGACCUACGGGUGAAAGCAGGGGAUCUUCGGACCUUGCGCGAUUGAAUGAGCCGAUGUCGGAUUAGCUAGUUGGCGGGGUAAAGGCCCACCAAGGCGACGAUCCGUAGCUGGUCUGAGAGGAUGAUCAGCCACACUGGAACUGAGACACGGUCCAGACUCCUACGGGAGGCAGCAGUGGGGAAUAUUGGACAAUGGGCGCAAGCCUGAUCCAGCCAUACCGCGUGGGUGAAGAAGGCCUUCGGGUUGUAAAGCCCUGUUGUUGGGAAAGAAAAUCAGCAGGUUAAUACCCCGCUGUUCUGACGGUACCCAAAGAAUAAGCACCGGCUAACUUCGUG
rnacentral:rRNA from 1 species